CAUUCGGUUCGGUUCAAUUCUUCGGGUUUUGGGUUAUUCGUUUUUAGCUUUUUAGCAUCCAUAAGGAAACCGAAUGUUUUUCAGUUCACUUGUGGUACAUAAAGUGUUCCAGGGAUUUUUUCUCGCUGAAGUUCGAUGUUUUGGGAAAAAGAGAGUACAAAGCUUGGUUCCCGCAGUU